AGCAUUGAUAAAGUGGGACCGACAGACGACAUCGUGUGUUCCUGGUUUCCACAGAUUCUUCGUAUCCGCAUCAACUCUUCUAACGGCAACGCGCCAUUUCUGUCGCAAGUCAAGGUCUGUGGGGUAUUUGUGUCUCCCUAUAUUAUUUUUACAACAUUGAACAGAGCAGUAUCUCGGCAUGUUUGCACCACGGUCGACGUAAUCGUCGAUACGAGCCAUUAUGAAAGCUGACAUGCGCUUUCGCGUUGUACCGACGUGUACACCUGUGCCACCUAGCGAGAAAAUGUUGGUGGUGUCUCCCAUUACACAUUCGUCAGCACAAUACAUAUUUUAAAAGUACAUGUGUGUGUGUAAAUGACUCAAUGCUCACUGUUAUAGGAUACAACCGCCUGACACGAUAGGCUCAAAAUAGCACAAACGAGUUGUGUAAUAAUCGAAUCACCAGCAACUGAGCACUGAACCGAAUCAUUUCAAACAGACGUUCAGUUGGCCAGACACCGUAGGACAUUCAAGGAUGGGAAAGACACAAUCUAAAAGUACACCACAGUGCACUGUAUACAUCUGGCUGCCCGAUGGUUCACGCGUUGGUCAUGCAUCACUGGAACUGGCAGACGGAACGUACAUCAGUUGGAGGCCAAAGGGUGAGAAAUGGUGUGACGCACCUGUAUCACCGGAACUGGCAGACCGAACAUACGUCAGUUGGUGGCCAAAGGAAAGAAAAGGGUUGAGGUUUUCAGUACCUGGAACUAAUAACGCCCUAAUGGACGACAUCAGGGAAGAGGGCGAGCCAGACUACACACUAUAUUUCCCUUCAUACAUCCAACUGCACCAGAUGGCUAUGAAAGGGUGGUGGCAAGAGUUUAAGAAUGAAGGGACGUGGGAUAUCAGGAAGAAUUGUUGCUGGGUGGUCAAAAGAACACUUA